AACGAUACGGACGGAAUUGGCAGAAUUACAAAGAAGAUUUAUAAUAAAAACAAUGUCUGCAAACUUGUGCUUUGAAAUGAUUUGAACAAUUUCAAAAUUAUUGCUUUUUGGUUCAACUACUGAUGGGAAACUGCUUGGCUGGAAAUCAAUAAUCAAUAGGCACUUCAAAAUACUGUUGUGUAGUUGCGCUUAGUAACAAAUAGUCAGUGACUAACCGAAUCAUGAAACUGAUAUUAAUCAUGUAGUCUGAUAAAACUAGAAUGGGAAUAAACAAGUUGAAUUUUGUUUACGUUUCGUCUUAGGCUCAUCAGUGCAUAGCAGUUUAAAUUGAACUACUUAAAGGGUUACACCACUGUAGAAUUUUCAAAAAAUCGGAAAUUUAUUUUUUCAUUGCAGAAGAUCAUGUAUGAUCUUAAAAAUAAUAUUCCAAAUUAUGAAAAGCGGGAAAAAUUUCUAGACGUCUUAAUUUCAAGUUUUACCGCGAGACUCCGACUAUUAAAUGAUUUUAAACGCGUUUAUCUCAGAUCCACUUUUUUUGAGCUGCCCGGAAACAUAAGUCAAGUAUAUCUUGACCAAUCGAUUCAAAAAUUUUAUAGAAUAUUCUCGAUAUUUAUCUCCACAGAGAUCGAAAAUUGCGGGAGCUGAAUUUCCGGCCGUCAAAAUGCAGCACUUUCGUGGAAAAGCCGCCAUUUUGUUUUUCAAUUUUUAAAACUGAUGAUUUUUUGUACUUAAAUAUACAUAUUAAAAAGUGAUUUAUACAAAA